GAUGAACGCUAGCGGGAGGCCUAACACAUGCAAGCCGAGCGGGAUUUGUUGGUUAGCUUGCUAACUAACAAUGAGAGCGGCGUACGGGUGCGUAGCACGUGUGCAACCUGCCUUUAUCUGGGGGAUAGCCUUUCGAAAGGAAGAUUAAUACCCCAUAACAUAUUGAUUGGCAUCAGUUAAUAUUGAAAGCUCCGGCGGAUAGAGAUGGGCACGCGUAAGAUUAGCUAGUUGGUGAGGUAACGGCUCACCAAGGCUGCGAUCUUUAGGGGGCCUGAGAGGGUGAUCCCCCACACUGGUACUGCGACACGGACCAGACUCCUACGGGAGGCAGCAGUGAGGAAUAUUGAACAAUGGGUGAGAGCCUGAUCCAGCCAUCCCGCGUGAAGGACUAAGGACCUAUGGUUUGUAAACUUCUUUUAUACAGGGAUAAACCUACUCUCGUGAGGGUAGCUGAAGGUACUGUAUGAAUAAGCACCGGCUAACUCCGUG
rnacentral:rRNA from 1 species